AUUGAACGCUGGCGGCAUGCCUUACACAUGCAAGUCGAACGGCAGCAUGAUCUAGCUUGCUAGAUUGAUGGCGAGUGGCGAACGGGUGAGUAAUACAUCGGAACGUGCCCUGUAGUGGGGGAUAACUAGUCGAAAGAUUAGCUAAUACCGCAUACGACCUGAGGGUGAAAGUGGGCGACCGCAAGGCCUCAUGCUAUAGGAGCGGCCGAUGUCUGAUUAGCUAGUUGGUGGGGUAAAGGCCCACCAAGGCGACGAUCAGUAGCUGGUCUGAGAGGACGAUCAGCCACACUGGGACUGAGACACGGCCCAGACUCCUACGGGAGGCAGCAGUGGGGAAUUUUGGACAAUGGGGGCAACCCUGAUCCAGCAAUGCCGCGUGUGUGAAGAAGGCCUUCGGGUUGUAAAGCACUUUUGUCCGGAAAGAAAUCGCACUUACUAAUAUUAGGUGUGGAUGACGGUACCGGAAGAAUAAGGACCGGCUAACUACGUG
rnacentral:rRNA from 1 species